rnacentral:lncRNA from 1 species
UGUGCCUACUUUGAUUAAUGAAUUAUAUUUUAGCAACUGAUUAUUUUCUUUUCUUUAUUAUAUCCCCCCCCCCCCCCAAUGUUUUCCAUCCUAUUGUUUUUUCUUCCAUUAUUCUUUAAUUGGUUAAACCAAUUCAGAUCCCAAAGGAUCCUUUAUUUCACAAUAAACAAUCAUUUUUUGUAGAUGUUGUAGCAUAAAGUAAAUAGCCUUUAUUAAAAUCAAAACAUUUCUCUUACAACUAUUUUUGACAUAGUUGCAUGUAACAUUUUAAAGUAACA